UACGAAGGGGGCUAGCGUUGUUCGGAAUCACUGGGCGUAAAGCGCACGUAGGCGGAACUUUAAGUCAGGGGUGAAAUCCCGAGGCUCAACCUCGGAACUGCCUUUGAUACUGGGGAUCUCGAGUCCGGGAGAGGUGAGUGGAACUGCGAGUGUAGAGGUGAAAUUCGUAGAUAUUCGCAAGAACACCAGUGGCGAAGGCGGCUCACUGGCCCGGAACUGACGCUGAGGUGCGAAAGCGUGGGGAGCGAACCGG
rnacentral:rRNA from 1 species